rnacentral:rRNA from 1 species
UGGGGAAUAUUGCACAAUGGAGGGAACUCUGUUGCAGCGACGCCGCGUGAACGAAGAAGGCUUUCGAGUCGUAAAGUUCUUUUAUAUGGGAAGAUAAUGACGGUACCAUAAGAAAAAGCCCCGGCUAACUACGUGCCAGCAGCCGCGGUAAUACGUAGGGGGCUAGCGUUGUCCGGAAUCACUGGGCGUAAAGGGUUCGCAGGCGGAAAUGCAAGUCAGGUGUAAAAGGCAGUAGCUUAACUACUGUAAGCAUUUGAAACUGCAUAUCUUGAGAAGAGUAGAGGUAAGUGGAAUUUUUAGUGUAGCGGUGAAAUGCGUAGAUAUUAAAAAGAAUACCGGUGGCGAAGGCGACUUACUGGGCUCAUUCUGACGCUGAGGAACGAAAGCGUGGGUAGCAAACAGG